ACAGAAUUGUGGAAACCUUUUCACAAGGUGUAAGCUAUGUCACAUCAUCACGUCGUGCACUUUAAAUAUAUACAAAAUGGUCAAUUAUACCUCAAUAAAACUGGGGGAAAACAAGUUGAGACCUUCCCAAGACUUUGACCAAUGUUCCUUCUCUCAUAUAAGCACCAGCUUUGAAUUUUGGUAGAGAGGGUUCACCUUCUGGGACCACAGGGGACCCACUGAAUAUUACAGAGGACUACCCGCGGAGCAGGCUGUCUGGAGCGAGGGAACACCUGCCACAUGCUCAGAGCAUUUAAGAUUGUGCAAGACAUGCUUGAAAUGAAAUCUAAUGAUCGGUAUUCACUUUUAUGGCAUGGUUUAUAAAAAUAGACAGUCCUCAUAAAGAGCCGCCGUUGCCAACCAAAAGCCUGUCAAGGGCCCAGAGAUUCUAUUUCAAGGCUAACAACUCGAGUUCCUCACAUGUCUCCACUAAUGAUGCCCCGCGUGACCUUGAGCCUCUAGCCUAAAUGUCUUGUUCCUCAUUUUCUCUGUCUGUAAAAGGGGGAUAAUGACACUAGCUGCUGGAUCAUGUUGGCAACAUGCUUAGAAAUCCCCAGAUCAAAGGUGCGCUGCCUGGACCAAACAAGAUGAUGAUGGUGCUUGCCAUCAUUAGUGUUGUUAUUAUUAUUGUUGUUGUUGAGGGUGCCCAUCUUGCAGCCCAGGAAGUAAGCAUGACUCCCAUGACUGAUUCAGCACCAAGGCCGACUAAGGAGGAGUUCCCAGCGCUACAGGAGUCAUUGAUAUAGAGACCGCCCAUUUCAAUGACGUCACAUGAUGGCACAUUCCUAGGCUCCCCGAGUGGAGCAAGGUGCUCUCCUCCCUCCUAGGAGGACCAUGCCUAGUGCAUCUCCAAGAGGACCAGAGGUCAGUGGUGAAGGAAGGAAAUGGCUGAUCACAUCUACUUCCGGAAUCUUCCAUCUAAACCCUCAACACUUGAACCUAAAACUACUUGCCACCUCAGUUUGGAAAUUCCACCAUGCUUUGAAUGGCAAAAGAUCCUCAGGAUGUAAGCAAGUGGAACAUGGAAGGUGCCACAUGUGCAUUAAUUUGUCACAUAUCAUCCUGCCACAAGCCAGCACUGGUGGACAGAGAGAAAUAGAGGGGAGGCUGAAGGGGAGAUGCCUGCAGUGCUCUGUGAAUGAGAAAAGGUCAGUGGAAUGA
rnacentral:lncRNA from 1 species